GACGAACGCUGGCGGCGUGCUUAACACAUGCAAGUCGAACGGAAAGGCCUCUUUCCCUUGUUGGUUUGCGGGACCUCAAUUGGCAACGGGUUGGUAACAAGUGGAUGAUUGUGCCCCAACCUUGGUUUAAAGCUGGGAAACCGGGGUCAAUUUCCCGUAGGGCCUCCAGGUGGUGCCUGUGGGGGGAAAAGGUUUUCUUGUUGUUGGGGAAUAGCCUGGGGGCUGAUCACCUUGUUGGUGGGGUAAUGGCCAACAAGGGCGGCGAAGGGUAGCCGGCCUGAGAGGGUGGACGGCCACAUUGGGACUGAGAUACGGCCCAGACUCCUACGGGAGGCAGCAGUGGGGAAUAUUGCACAAUGGGCGGAAGCCUGAUGCAGCGACGCCGCGUAGGGGAUGACGGCCUUCGGGUUGUAAACUCCUUUCGACCGCGAGGAAGCCACCUGGUUGGAAGGGUGGUGACGGUAGUGGUAGAAGAAGCACCGGCUAACUACGUG
rnacentral:rRNA from 1 species